ACUCAAAGGAAUAGACGGGGGCCUGCACAAGCGGUGGAGUAUGUGGCUUAAUUCGAUGCAACGCGAAGAACCUUACCUGGCCUUGACAUGUAUAUAGUAGGAGCCUGAAAGGGCAACGAGGUAGCAAUACCAGUGUACACAGGUGCUGCAUGGCUGUCGUCAGCUCGUGUCGUGAGAUGUUGGGUUAAGUCCCGCAACGAGCGCAACCCUUGUGUCCUGUUGCUAUCCGGACGAGAGUCUGGAGCACUCUGGACAGACUGCCUCGCUUAAACGAGGAGGAAGGUGGGGAUGACGUCAAGUCAGUAUGGCCCUUACGGCCAGGGCUGCACACGUACUACAAUGCCCGAUACAAAGGGAAGCAAGACCGCGAGGUGGAGCAAAUCUCAAAAAAUCGGGCCCAGUUCAGAUCGUAGGCUGCAACUCGCCUACGUGAAGCCGGAAUCGCUAGUAAUGGCGCAUCAGCUACGGCGCCGUGAAUACGUUCCCAGGCCUUGUACACACCGCCCGU
rnacentral:rRNA from 1 species